CCAAGGAUAGUUCCUUCCCACGGGAGCUUUGUGAUCCGCUACGAGACCAGAAAUGUCGUCCGUGCUAGUUGAGCCACUAUAUCUGAACGCGUGGCGAAAACACUCGUGUAGUUAUCUGGACGCGACGCCGCACAUCCAACCCAACCCUAACUCUAUUUAAAUCGUUCUCUGGCGAUCGAAGCUGCGCCGCGCCCGCGGAACAUAGUGAGAGGAUGAUACACAUUUUUGUCGGCGAUGGAGGGCGGAGGAGAAGUACGACCGGAAGCAUCCGGCGGUGGAGUGGAUCCUCCAGGGCGCGCAGGAGAUGCAGAUGAAUCUAUUCGACGACUUACAUUUUGGAGAGCCUUAAGGCAGUGCACAGCAGCUCCCAGAGUUGGCACCAACACCAGAGUGGCAGAAACUCCUUGAUCAUCGACGGAACAUUAAGGUCACCAGGAUGCCCACGGAAGAGAACAUGUUCUAGCCCGUAGGUCGUGCAAAGCAGCUCCCAGAGUCGGCACCAACCUCAGAGCAACAGAAACUCAAAGACUGGCAUUUUGACUUAGUUUUACCAGUUAAUGCUUGGCAAAGCUGUAGCUGUUGGUUUGCUGUUAUCAUCUUCAGCCAUCGAUGAAGAACCCAAUUAUACAUGCAGUGAAGAUUUGCAGAUGAAUCCUGGUACUCAUGAAACUGCAGUGCUAGUUGAGGAGGCUCCAGUACCAGCACAGAAGCGUGAAUGAACAGCCUCAGAUGCAUGAUGCAAGGUCUAUCUAUGAUCAUACCUUUGGCAAAGAAGUUUCUCCGGUCGAAUGGGCAAAGGAUUAUGUAUUCUCGGAAAGGAAGCUUCCCGUGAGUCCCAUUUAACCGAAUGUGGCAUCAGGACAUCUGUGAGAUAAAAGGCAAGUCUUUUUCUCUCUCUGAACUAAGAGUUCAGAGACUUGGGAGACGCGUGCCUUGACCACCGUCUCAGGCUCGGGGAACAUACUCCCCACGAUUAGAUACGAAUCCAUGACUUAAGACCUCCUUACUGUAACACUGAGGUGCAUGAAACUUAAACAAAGUACCUAAGACAUAGGGUGUCUAUUUAUUUA